UCAGAGGCGCCAAUGAAUUAAAAAAUAUUAAUUUUUUUUAAUAAAAUAUAAUUAAUUUUUUUCCCGGGUCAGUAAAUGACCUGGUAUAAUACAAAGUAGUGGUGCCUAUCUCAGAGGCGCCAAUGGUGGUGCCUAUCUGACAGGCGCCAUUAGUGGUGCCAUGUUGAGAGGCGCCAAUGGUCUUAUUUUUCUCUAUAUAUACCCCCGAAACACAGACAUAAUUUUUAGCAGAGGAACAAAAAUAAGAAGGAAGGGAGAAGAAAAAAAGAAAGGAAAAGAAGAAGAAGGAUAAUGUAUUUUAGUUUAUUUCUUUUUAAAUAGAAUGUAGAGUCUUAUUAGUAAUUUUAUUAUUUGAAAGUUAUUUUGUUAGGUUAUUAAUUUUGUUAGCUUCUGAAUGAAAAAUUUUGCAUUAAAAAUUUUAUGUAAUUUUUUUACAUUUCGAAAAUGUUUAAAGAAAUUUAAAAUUUUUUUUAACAGAUCUAGUAUUAAAGAUGGAGAAUUAGAUUUUUCAUCUAUGUUUCACACACCCCAACAUACGGAUGAGGAUAACGUUGAUCACCGUAAUCGCCCGUAACAUGAGCGUCGAGC
rnacentral:lncRNA from 1 species